AUUUCCCGCAUGGGUUUUAUAUUAAAGAAAUUCGGUAUGAGAUGGGGAUGCGUUCCAUUAGUUUGUUGGCGGGGUAACGGCCCACCAAGACUACGAUGGAUAGGGGUUCUGAGAGGAAGGUCCCCCACAUUGGAACUGAGACACGGUCCAAACUCCUACGGGAGGCAGCAGUGAGGAAUAUUGGUCAAUGGACGCGAGUCUGAACCAGCCAAGUAGCGUGAAGGAUGACUGCCCUAUGGGUUGUAAACUUCUUUUAUAUGGGAAUAAAGUGGUCCACGUGUGGAUUUUUGUAUGUACCAUAUGAAUAAGGAUCGGCUAACUCCGUGCCAGCAGCCGCGGUAAUACGGAGGAUCCGAGCGUUAUCCGGAUUUAUUGGGUUUAAAGGGAGCGUAGGCGGAUUGUUAAGUCAGUUGUGAAAGUUUGCGGCUCAACCGUAAAAUUGCAGUUGAUACUGGCAGUCUUGAGUGCAGUAGAGGUGGGCGGAAUUCGUGGUGUAGCGGUGAAAUGCUUAGAUAUCACGAAGAACUCCGAUUGCGAAGGCAGCUCACUGGAGUGUAACUGACGCUGAUGCUCGAAAGUGUGGGUAUCAAACAGGAUUAGAUACCCUGGUAGUCCACACAGUAAACGAUGAAUACUCGCUGUUUGCGAUAUACAGUAAGCGGCCAAGCGAAAGCAUUAAGUAUUCCACCUGGGGAGUAC
rnacentral:rRNA from 1 species